AACCAGGUUGAAAAGUUGUUGUUCCAAACAAAAGACUGGUUUAUUUCAUACCGUGGUUUGAAUGUACUGCACAUAGAGUGUGUUUUCGUGUCUUUCUCACUUUGUUGCCAUAAUGUUACGCUGGCCCUUUAAGAAACACGGUUGUGUGAGAGUCACAAAGUGUCGCGAGAGCUACAGAUGAGCAGCGCGAGUUAUCAGUGCAGAGUGAAUGUGCCUUAUGCGGUGGAGGAUUGAGAUCGUUAAAAGCCAUUAAAUCACACAAUAUAGAGAAAUAUGCACAUGCAGUGAGUUAUACACUCGUUCUCAAUUAUAGGGUGACUCGGAUGGCUGUGUAGUUUCGCAUAUUGACAGCGAGUGCUGACGAACAUAUCAGUUUGGGGAAGAUAACCACCAAAGCAGGGGAGAAAAGUGCUUCAUCGACCCCUUUGUGUUUCCAGUGCGGUGUAAAGCAUUCAAAGGGAAGUCGAGUCAGCAUUAAUGUGUACCUGUGCUAGACUGCUGAUGGACUGUAAGUUUUGAAACAUCAAAUUCAUUUUUGAAGUCCUAUAAGAACUCAUUUACAAAUGUGGGGUUGACUGAGUGUUAAAUUGUGCAAUAGUGUUGUAAUGUAUUAAGGAUGCUCAAAAAUGUAACUUAGAAAUUCCUUCCCAUGUACCCUUCAUAUAAUUUGUGUAGCCUUAUUCAGUUGAUCACUUUGAUUUGUUGACAGCUGUUACAUCUACAUUUCUAUUUGUUUUUCCAGCAUGAGAGGCUACUGCCGUUGUCUAUGUUAGCUGGUUAUUGUGAAUGUGGAAAAAGACACAUACUCAAUUUGUAGUGAAGAUCAUUUUAUUGGUCUCGUUGGCUGCUUAAAGCUUUAACUUUUCUGUUCUAAUUCCCCAAAGUUUGCAUACUUAACGCUGCGCUGAUCCAAGUGCAGUCGGGAUUAAAAGACCCCUUUAAAUUCUUCAUCCUGUGUCCGGUGUCACAAAUUCAUAUUCCGGGCUA